GUAGUCCACGCCGUAAACGAUGAAUACUAGGUGUAGGGGUUGUCAUGACCUCUGUGCCGCCGCUAACGCAUUAAGUAUUCCGCCUGGGGAGUACGGUCGCAAGAUUAAAACUCAAAGGAAUUGACGGGGGCCCGCACAAGCAGCGGAGCAUGUGGUUUAAUUCGAAGCAACGCGAAGAACCUUACCUAGACUUGACAUCUCCUGCAUUACCCUUAAUCGGGGAAGUUCCUUCGGGGACAGGAAGACAGGUGGUGCAUGGUUGUCGUCAGCUCGUGUCGUGAGAUGUUGGGUUAAGUCCCGCAACGAGCGCAACCCUUAUUGUUAGUUGCUACCAUUUAGUUGAGCACUCUAGCGAGACUGCCCGGGUUAACCGGGAGGAAGGUGGGGAUGACGUCAAAUCAUCAUGCCCCUUAUGUCUAGGGCUACACACGUGCUACAAUGGCAAGUACAAAGAGACGCAAGACCGCGAGGUGGAGCAAAACUCAAAAACUUGUCUCACUUCGGAUUGUAGGCUGAAACUCGCCUACAUGAAGCUGGAGUUGCUAGUAAUCGCGAAUCAACAUGUCGCGGUGAAUA
rnacentral:rRNA from 1 species